AACAAUACAUGGUGGCGUACUUGUUGUACUCAUCUUUCUCCCCUGCGUUAUUCCAUAUAUCAGAGCUUUUAGCGAUUAUUCUGGGUUCCCCAAUACUUUUAUUGUUGUUGGUCUACGUCGAAUAAGUGGUUUGCCUGCUUCUUUCCCGUUUGGCGAAUGAGGCGACUUGAAAAGAACAUUCAUGGAGUUGCUCACAGCUUUUUUGUUUCUGCAAAACGCCAUGCCCGCCGGCGCCAGCUGCAGCGUGAAUACACCAAUGAGUCAGACACUGGUGGCUUGAUUCAAACCAGCUCGGAAGGCAUGGGCCAUAAAGCCACUCGACCUGGCCCUGAUGUCUCAAGCCUUCGUGGCAGUGGUAUGAUGGCUGCGCCUGCCGCAACGUCGCUGGACAAGAUCCGUGCUCAAUUAGUCGCCCUGCGAAAUGAGAAUAGGCGCAGUGUAGAGGAAGCAAAACAAGCAGCUGAGCAGCGGCAGUGGGAGAAACUGGUGAAAGAGCAAAAGGAGCAAGACGUGCUUCGUGUAGGAAUCAGCCUGACUCACGAGAAAACGCGAGGCGACUCUCUCACAAAGCUAAUCCAGAGUGAGUAUUCACGCCUGAACAAGCCAAACGAUGCCUUUCGCGUCGGCAAAGAAGUCGUUGACGGGGUUGCGCAGCGGUCCUUUCUGCUGCAAGAAAAACGAUUCAAGGACGCCGAUGACGUGCUUCGAAAGAGCAGAAAUGCUAGUGAUACUCGGCGCUACAUGGCGCUAACCUUUUCGUCGUCGCCCGAGCAAAGGGCUCAUUUAGUGGAGGUUCUGAAGCGCAUGCAGGCACAAUGGGCAGCGGAGUGCGAGAAGCUUACGAGAGCAUCUGACCCCACGCAAAGUUUUUCUAGCAGCAAUAUCAACGCUACAGUUGAGGCCAGCUCAAGUGCGGUAUCGCGACUGGCAUGGUUGACGGUGCUAGAGGGGCUACCAGAUGAGGACAUUCGAGCACUCUGGGAGGCCGGCAUACUCGAUGCAGAGACGCUGUUGUCUUUGCUCUCUGAACCUUUGUCAGAUACAUUUUCGCCGACAGAGAGGAGUGCUGUGUCGGAGCGCACUCGAAACGACGGGGGCCAAGACACUUCCGACGAGGAUGCGCCGGCUGGCAUGCUUUUCAAUGAGAAGAUCAAGUAUGUGCAGCAGCUACACUAUCUGCAAGAGAUCACAAAUACUAUUCGGGAGACGGAGCUGGGUGAUGUGCCACCGAUUGACCUGGCACCGGCAAUUGUGAAGACGAAACGGCGUCGAUUCGAUGACGUCACAGAAGACGAGCUCCGUCAGCUCGAGCAGUACGAAGAGUCCGCAGCGAUGCACCUUCCUCUAAAGGAGCCGUUUCCCUCUAAGGGCGCAUCACGUGUGGUGAAGGCAGAAACUUUCAAUGUCUGUGUUCCCGCUGCAAUGCUCGAGCGUGCCCUUUUCCCCUCCAAUUGCUUUUUGAAUGCAGUGGCGCAGAAGGACGCCGCGCUGCGGCGCUCUUUGGAGCGGAUGGAGCGAAUCAAGCGAGAGACGCUGCUCGAUCCGGAGUUUCAAGAGGCGGUGCGUUUCGCGCACGCCGUGGAGGAAGCAUCUGUGGCGCCCCAUCUUCGUGGCUGGGACAGCAGCAACGGUGAUGACGGUGAUGUCAGCGGUGAGGAAAAGGGCGCGCCACCUCGGGCCACUCGUCGCACCGUAUCGAAGCGCGAGAAGCGGGCGGCUCGCAGCCACCAGCUGCGAGGCCCCAUGGCGCGCUCGCCAUACUCGCCAGAAGUAAUACCGUAUUUUUAUAAUGAUAUGCGCAGCAUAGUGCCACCGCAUGGGGCAUUUAACCUGCCGGACCCAGCGCCGACGAAGGCCGAGCGUGCCGCACUACGUGGCCGUCGGCGCCGUGCGCGAAAAGGAACGCGCUACAGCAAAUGAUAACCUGCUCUCUUGAAACGUUUUUUUGUUACUACUACUAUUCUUGCGUCGCUAACCUGGGAGAUGUGCACGAGUUUCCCUCUUCCUGUUCACAGUUUUGCUGUUUGGGUGUCCACGGGCUUGCAUGCCUCUUCGUCUUUCUUACUGCAAAAUGGUUCGUCGGAAGCCGCAGAAACGCUGCACAGCUGAUGAGUUGAGGAAGGGUCCAGGUCGACGAGGCAAGCUGCCCAGGAAAGUGAGUGUUCGCCUCGCCUCGCCUUCUUUUGAUGCGAGCCGCUUUGUAGGGCCGAGAACGUAGUGCUCGGUGUGGUUUUUCUGCCGCCUUCUUGCUCCACUCUCCAUUGUCCACUCAUCUCCCCUCAUCCUCUGCUUUGCAACAUUGGCGCUAG
rnacentral:misc_RNA from 1 species